UCUGAGACUAGGGCCAGAGGUGGCUCUAUCAGGGACCUCCCUGAGCCUUAGGGAAGUGAGUUCCCAGAGGACAGGGCUUCAUGUGAGGGUUCAGCUGAACAGCCGUUUGCUGAAAAGGCUGUGCCUGAAUACAGAGCCAGUCAGCCAUUGCAGUGGAAGUCAGGAUUGAAAAUGCAG
ensembl:misc_RNA RNaseP_nuc Nuclear RNase P